rnacentral:rRNA from 1 species
UACGUAGGGUGCGAGCGUUGUCCGGAAUUAUUGGGCGUAAAGAGCUUGUAGGCGGCUUGUCGCGUCUGCCGUGAAAAUCCGGGGCUCAACCCCGGACUUGCGGUGGGUACGGGCAGACUAGAGUGUGGUAGGGGAGACUGGAAUUCCUGGUGUAGCGGUGAAAUGCGCAGAUAUCAGGAGGAACACCGAUGGCGAAGGCAGGUCUCUGGGCCACUACUGACGCUGAGAAGCGAAAGCGUGGGGAGCGAACAGG